GGGUGGCUUGCUGCACGUUUGUUUCGGCUGUGCAGGCUUGAAUGGUUCUUUUCGUCCUGCUUGCGUGCUGUGAAGGGACCUCAAGCAAGCUCCGAAGUUGAGACAUGGUGAGUGUGAGAUCACUGUCCACAAAGGGGAGGAGCAGGCGGAUGGCCGGAGCUGCAACGGUGGGUCCUCCUCCAGGGCUGCAUGGGACGAGAGAUAGAUGAGGCUUUUGGUGGACAGGCACAAAUGCUACCGGAAUGCAAACCACUCCGGGAUCUGUAAAAGGUCUGACCCGGGACGGGAAACACACUUUAACCUAGAGGAGGGGUAAGGCUCACUGGCCAAUCAAGGCUCCCCUGCAUGAGUUCUUCCGAUGCCUUGCUGGAAGUUUGUUUUGGCUGUGCGGGCUUGAAUGAUUCUAAAUAUCCUGCUUUGAGCGCUGCUGUUGGGUGCUUUGAGGGGACCUCAAGUAAGCUCCGUUUUUGAAACAUGGUAAGCGCAGGGUUACUGUCUAUAAUGGGUAGGGGCAGGUGGCUGAGCAGUGCGAGCUGAGGUGGUGGGUCCUCUCUGGGGCUGGAUGGAAAGCAUCAGCCAGAUAUAACCAGAUGUGGCCACCUGUGCGGUCCUUUGUGAUGCUCCUCACUUGCUAAAACAGGCGGUGAACUCUGAAUAACAUCAGUAUCAGGGCGGAAUCUGCUCAAAACAUUUGGACUAGGGGCUUGCUUGUAGAAAUAUCACAGGCAGGAUGCCAAACUUGGAGAGUCCUAGUUUCUCUUGAAUCUUCUAUAAGUUUUGCCCUUACCAUUUAUCUAUUAGGUGUAAGAUCCAUUUGUAGUUAAUUUUGUAGAGCUGUUAAAAAGCAUCGCAUGUGUUGGGUAGCACUCCCAUAUUAAGCUGAGAUGUAGAAGAGUAGAAUUGAUGAUGUAAAGGACUUACCAAGCUUAGGAAAUAGUGACAGUAAGUAGCAUUUAGCUGAUGGAGGACUGCGUCAAAAACACCUCACAGAUUAGUAUGCUAAGCAGGCCGGUUAGAGACUAGGAUGCUAGGAUUCACAUGUUUGCUCACCAGGUUUGUCUAAACAUCUGGCUCCAAACCAUAACAAAGGAGACAACUGUGAUGUACAACCAGCCACUUGGUACAUGCUCAUAGCAAAAAGCAGGUCUGUAACAAACUGCUCAAUCCGUCAUUAGAGUCACAACCAACAUUAAGGACUGGUGUGCCUGAAAUCCCCAUUUUCUAAUUGAGAAAAGCAUAGUUCUGCCACACGGGAAAGACUACACUGGUUGACAUCCAUUUGAGAAGGAAAAACACCUAUGUGCUUGCAGACAGGAGCCGAGCAUGGCUGUCCUCUGAGAGGCUCUAUCAGCAACUGAGACAGAUGCAGAUACUUACAGCCAACCAAUAACUCCACUCAGGGACCCCUAUGGAAGAGUUAGGGGAAUCAAGUAACCCAGAUCCCUCGUGGCUCACAAAGACUAAGCCAUCAACCAAAGAGCAUACAUGGGCUGGCCCAUGGUCCCAGGAACAAAUGUAGCAGAGGACUGCAUUGCCUGUACUGAGUGGGAGACUAUACACCUAAUCUUGUAGAGACAUGAUGCCCCAGGGAAGGAGAAUGGGGAAGGUGAGGCGGUGGUGGGUGAGUGGAUGAGAGGAGUGGAGAUGGGGUGAUUGAGCAUGGUCUCAAAGGCAAAGGGAAGGGGGAAUAGGUAAAGCAUCCUGAGAGGGGGGAUCAGAUAGUGUGCAAUGUUUGGAAUGU
rnacentral:lncRNA from 1 species